rnacentral:rRNA from 1 species
GUGCCAGCAGCCGCGGUAAUAACGUAAGGUGGCAAGCGUUGUCCNGGAUUUUAUUGGGCGUAAAAGCGAGCGCAGGCGGUUUCUUAAGUCUGAUGUGAAAGCCCCCGGCUCAACCGGGGAGGGUCAUUGGAAACUGGGAGACUUGAGUGCAGAAGAGGAGAGUGGAAUUCCAUGUGUAGCGGUGAAAUGCGUAGAUAUAUGGAGGAACACCAGUGGCGAAGGCGGCUCUCUGGUCUGUAACUGACGCUGAGGCUCGAAAGCGUGGGGAGCAAACAGGAUUAGAUACCCUGGUAGUCC